GCCAGUUCAGGAUGUCAUGCACAAAAAAAAAGUUUAAAAGCGCCAUUUGGAAUGGUGUAUUCUCAGAAGAAAGUGCUAUUCCAAAUGGUGUUUUUAGGUUUUGCAUCACUUUGAUAAAUAAGUUGAAAUCUACAUCAAUCCAAUAAAAAAGUUUAAAAAAAAAUUAGUACAGUAAAGGACUCAGUUUUGGGAUGUCUCCCAUUGCAUGUUAAAAGACAAAUUAAGACUUGCCAUCCCCC
rnacentral:lncRNA from 1 species